GUUAAAUUUCAAAAAGUUAGUCAUAAACAAGGUCCGGACUACCUGAGGGAGACUAUAGGGCUUGCCGGACCAUUUGGAAAUGAAGAGUUAAAAUAAAAACUUCAUAAAAACUGUAAAAGAACAGCAGAUAAGGGGACAGGACAGAGCUGGCCUGAGAUGUGCCCGGCCAAGCCUAAAAACAAGGUCAAGGGAUUGUUCCAGGAAGGGGGGGCCAUCCGGACGGAUGACUCCCUGCUCUAUAGAUAAAGAUAAGACGUUCUCCUAUAUUGAGAACACCCCAGCCCGCAUGUACUGCUUGCAGAUGAGACCUUGUACCCAUUUCCCUUGCUGAUAACCACGCGAAACCCCCUGGCUUCUCCUAUAUAAACCCCUGCCUGAAGAGGCUCGGAGUCAAUUCCUCUGUCUCCUGUGUGAGAUACGUGUCGACCCGGGAUCCUGCUAAGACCCGGGAACUCGUUAAUAAAGCUACCUCCUGCUGUUACAUCAAGACCGGCUACUCGUGAUUCCUGGGGGCACCCCAUCACACGAUUAGAGUGAGAGACGCGGCUCCCCGUUUAGGGGUACGCUCUUUCAUAUGGGGGCUUGUCCGGGAUCGGAGCGUGACCCCCAGGAACCCCGAAUGCCACUUGGAGAAAGUGCACAGGGGGACGCCCCAAUCGUGCAAGUUCUGGGACGUGUGAAAGACGUUCCGCAAGCCGAACUUUGUCGGGAGGACCCAGCAACUGGCCGUCAAAGAGAUUUGUGUUUGAAAUCUUGGACUGACAAUUGUGUUUGAACCGUUUGCUUUGCUCAUCGAAGAGUUUUACUUGGUCCCCUUAAUGCUUAGUGAGUAAGGAACUUAAUUUUGCGGACCCCACUCUAGUGGCAGUGUGUUGGUUGAUAGCCAACGUUAUUUUUUUUAAAACAUAGUGUUUUAUCUGUGCUUGUGCUCACAGCCCACACAAUAGGGGAAAGGGAAACUAGCUGCGGAGCUGCUGCAGCGAGCAUGGGGACUUCUCAAGUCUCACCCAAUUUUUCUGGCUCUUCAAGAGCUGUUUAAAAGAAAAAGGCUUAAGGUAAAAAGAAACACUAUAGAGAGAUUUCUUAGUGAAUUGCUACAUCUUGGUUCGCUGUCUCUGGAAAUCUCACGGUAGACAGCUGUGAUAAACUGGGAAAGAUUUAAAUUUUGCUUGGUAGCAAAGAACCUUAAAGGGACAGGCUACAUUAAAAAUGCUACAGGAGGAACUAUCUGAAAAGGCUGAGAGCGAGGUGGGAGAGGACUCUAAAAAAAACAAAAACAAGAAAGGAAUUUCUGACAUUUGCUCACAGAAGGAGAGCACUCUUUAAGAGAAGUUCUUUAAGGAAGCCUGCCUUAUCUGCUGGCCCUAUUCCAAGAGAGGAGUCAGUCUCCAGCAUUAAAUUACUUUUCUCGUUAGUCAUCAUUAACAUGGAGAGUGCCUUUGAUCCUAUUCCCACAGCAGCCAGUUCCUGCCCCUGUGGUCAAAUGCCCCAGGUUGGGGGACAGAGGAGCCCCUAAAAUAGUUUCAAAGAAUCUACAACAAACUGUAAAGAAUUUUGUUUUGUUUUGCCAGUCAAGAUUUAGAAUUCAGGUUUUGGCGGUGGCCAAGGUCAGGAUUAAUGUUUUCUUUUCCAUGGGCCUUUAACCCAGUGAGACAGUUUGGUAAAGGGCUACUACUGAGGUCCUGAUAGCCCCAGGUGAACUGGUUACGAUUCUUUUGUCAGUCACCUGGCAUCUAGCACUCAGGUUCUAACCAUCUCUCCAUCCUUUUGUUAUUAGUUGUUACUAGAAGCCUAGUGUCAUUUGGAGGCUGGUUCCCCUGAAAGGCAAAGCCACCAAGCGGACACUGAAGAGAGACACUCCUUGAGAGAAAAUCUAAGUCUAGAGAGAUAGUUGAUAAUAGAUUGGCUGCCUCUCUGCUCGCCUUUCUGGUUCAUAGACAAAGCUUGUGCUUAUUUGUAUAAUGGCCUUUUUGUUCAAGAAGGCCUCCUGGUUUAGCUGUGUGACUAAAUGCUGUUUGCACUCUUCAGUAUACCUCUAUUCUCAAGAUUCUCUUGUUUUCUCACCAUCCCAUUUGAGAUGCUUGUUAGUAACUAUUACAGGUCUUCUUUACCACUGAGGAAAGACAGAAUUCUACUGGAGGCCAGAAAGAAUGUUCCAGACACGGAUGGAAGGACCUCACUUCUGCCUGUUGACUUCAAUACGCCUAAAGGUAGGGAGUGCCAGGUCUGCCGCCAGGCUCCAAGAGUGGGUCUCAGAGGGGCUAGAAAAUGCCCCACUAAUUUGGCUAAGAUAAAGAAAGAAUAUAAAGAAAAAGUUACAGAAACUUGAAGGGUUAAGGUAAGUUGCUGAGAGUUAGUGUAAGUUACAAAAAAGUAAAAUUAAAAUGUGGUUAAGUAGACAACAUCUAAUAGCUGUAAAAGAAGAUACAGAAGAUAUGAGAGAGACUGUAGAAGAGAAAGAAAAAAAGAUAAAAAGAACAAGAAGCUAGAGAAAAAAAGAGACAAAAAGAGGAUGUUAAAGAGCUAAAGAGAGAUAAGAGACAAGAGAGAAACAUAUACCGGCCACAGUAGUUAGGGAACCUAGGAAGAUAGUACCUGGCAACAGAAGAGAAUACCUGGCUGAAGAUCAAUGUGCCUAAUACAAAGAAAAAGGACACUGGGUCAGGGACUGCCCAAGAAAGAACAAGAGGGGCCACUAGAGAGCUUCUUGGUCCUAGAGUGCUGGCUAUGUACAGAGAUAGAAGAGAAGUGUGGAUACAGGGACCCAAUGUUCUGUGCUCCUAUGCCCCCCCAGUGGGCCAAUAUCCAAAGACCUUGAGUAUAAGGGGCUACUGACAACAAACAACUUAUGGACUGCCUGAAGAACAGUGGACCUUGGCGUGGGCUGGGUAACCCACUUGUUCAUGGUCAUCCCUGACUGCCCCUAUCCCUUGCUCCUGAGAAAUUUGCUCUCCAAAAUGGCUUGCAUGGACUGAAAUGGCUAGGUGAGGCCAUGUAUAUGCAUAUCUACAGACUGUGAAUGUAGAGCUUAAGACCUGUCUCAGUGCACCAGUACCUGAUGCUGAGAGAUGUGUGACUUAGUCCUGUUCUUCCUGGAACACAUCACUCCUGCCAGCCAGGCACUAACAAUUAUCACCCAAUCCAGGACUUAAACUGUGAUAGAGUGGCUGAUGUUUUGCCUUUGAAUAAAACGUCCCAAAAAUGGGACCACUGGUCAGCUGCCAUGGACUAGGUUCUCCACUGGUUGGGGACAAUCUGGUCACCUUGCUGCUCAAUCCUGACCUGGAGCCACUGCAACA